UGUUGGGGUAGGAAUUACCGAGUUAUUGUCCAGCGGAACGGAAUGUGAACGCUGGAAGGAAGUAUUAGCUGCUUGAUAAUUUCGCAUUCACCACA
rnacentral:ncRNA from 21 species